AGAGUUUGAUCCUGGCUCAGGAUGAACGCUAGCUACAGGCUUAACACAUGCAAGUCGAGGGGCAGCAUGGUCUUAGCUUGCUAAGACUGAUGGCGACCGGCGCACGGGUGAGUAACACGUAUCCAACCUGCCGUCUACUCUUGGACAGCCUUCUGAAAGGAAGAUUAAUACAAGAUGGCAUCAUGAGUCCGCAUGUUCACAUGAUUAAAGGUAUUCCGGUAGACGAUGGGGAUGCGUUCCAUUAGAUAGUAGGCGGGGUAACGGCCCACCUAGUCUUCGAUGGAUAGGGGUUCUGAGAGGAAGGUCCCCCACAUUGGAACUGAGACACGGUCCAAACUCCUACGGGAGGCAGCAGUGAGGAAUAUUGGUCAAUGGGCGAGAGCCUGAACCAGCCAAGUAGCGUGAAGGAUGACUGCCCUAUGGGUUGUAAACUUCUUUUAUAAAGGAAUAAAGUCGGGUAUGCAUACCCGUUUGCAUGUACUUUAUGAAUAAGGAUCGGCUAACUCCGUGCCAGCAGCCGCGGUAAUACGGAGGAUCCGAGCGUUAUCCGGAUUUAUUGGGUUUAAAGGGAGCGUAGAUGGAUGUUUAAGUCAGUUGUGAAAGUUUGCGGCUCAACCGUAAAAUUGCAGUUGAUACUGGAUAUCUUGAGUGCAGUUGAGGCAGGCGGAAUUCGUGGUGUAGCGGUGAAAUGCUUAGAUAUCACGAAGAACUCCGAUUGCGAAGGCAGCCUGCUAAGCUGCAACUGACAUUGAGGCUCGAAAGUGUGGGUAUCAAACAGGAUUAGAUACCCUGGUAGUCCACACGGUAAACGAUGAAUACUCGCUGUUUGCGAUAUACGGCAAGCGGCCAAGCGAAAGCGUUAAGUAUUCCACCUGGGGAGUACGCCGGCAACGGUGAAACUCAAAGGAAUUGACGGGGGCCCGCACAAGCGGAGGAACAUGUGGUUUAAUUCGAUGAUACGCGAGGAACCUUACCCGGGCUUAAAUUGCAGAUGAAUUACGGUGAAAGCCGUAAGCCGCAAGGCAUCUGUGAAGGUGCUGCAUGGUUGUCGUCAGCUCGUGCCGUGAGGUGUCGGCUUAAGUGCCAUAACGAGCGCAACCCUUGUUGUCAGUUACUAACAGGUUCCGCUGAGGACUCUGACAAGACUGCCAUCGUAAGAUGUGAGGAAGGUGGGGAUGACGUCAAAUCAGCACGGCCCUUACGUCCGGGGCUACACACGUGUUACAAUGGGGGGUACAGAGGGCCGCUACCACGCGAGUGGAUGCCAAUCCCCAAAACCUCUCUCAGUUCGGACUGGAGUCUGCAACCCGACUCCACGAAGCUGGAUUCGCUAGUAAUCGCGCAUCAGCCACGGCGCGGUGAAUACGUUCCCGGGCCUUGUACACACCGCCCGUCAAGCCAUGGGAGCCGGGGGUACCUGAAGUGCGUAACCGCGAGGAGCGCCCUAGGGUAAAACUGGUGACUGGGGCUAAGUCGUAACAAGGUAGCCGUACCGGAAGGUGCGGCUG
rnacentral:rRNA from 1 species